AUUGAACGCUGGCGGCAAGCCUAACACAUGCAAGUCGAACGAGUGGCGGACGGGUGAGUAAUGUCUGGGAAACUGCCUGAUGGAGGGGGAUACCUACUGGAAACGGUAGCUAAUACCGCAUACCAUCGGCUUUGCCCACAUGGGAUUAGCUAGUAGGUGGGGUAAAGGCUCACGAAGGCGACGAUCCCUAGCUGGUCUGAGAGGAUGACCAGCCACACUGGAACUGAGACACGGCCCAGACUCCUACGGGAGGCAGCAGUGGGGAAUAUUGCACAAGGGGCGCAAGCCUGAUGCAGCCAGGCCGCGUGUAUGAAGAAGGCCUUCGGGUUGUAAAGGACUUUCAGCGGGGAGGCGUUACCCGCAGAAGAAGCACCGGCUAACUCCGUGCCAGCAGCCGCGGUAAUUC
rnacentral:rRNA from 1 species